AGCCCUCCGUAUCCGUGCUGAGAUUUCGUCAAAGACCAACCUGUUGGCACUGGCUGAUGGUACUUACUAAAUAAGUGAAGCG
rnacentral:pre_miRNA from 1 species